rnacentral:misc_RNA from 1 species
UGAGUGAUGAAUUUAAAAGAGUACUUACUUGCCCCUAAUGCCUUCAGAAUAUGCUGAGUCGCAGCAAUGAUAUGUUGUUCUGCUUCAUUGCUUGGCAUGAUAGAUUGACAGUUGCACAUCACCAGAGAAGAAAAGCAGGACAAUUGGAAAAAUGAAUUGAUAAUAACAAUGUAAAUCUUGAAUAAGCCUCAAAUAAAAUCCAGCAAAACCACCAACAAAUGCGUCCUUGCCAAAGUCACAUGAAAUAUUAUAUGGACUGUUGCAAAGAAACCAUGACUUGGGCCGAACUGAGCUUUGGCUUUUUCUCGAGCAGAUGAUGUCUCCAGGCAGAAAGUAGCCGAGAAAGUUGGAAAAAGGAAAUCC